rnacentral:rRNA from 1 species
CCUGUAGGUGACUGCGGAGGACAUUAUUGAUUUAAUGAGGGGAUAUCUGGUUGUAGCUGGCUCAUGAAUUUGGGCAUGUGCACACCUAUCUCUUUCAUCCACACACACCUGUGCACUUGUGAGGCAGAUGGGGAAUUUAUUGAUUGUUUUUUAAGAACAAUUGGUGCUGGACCCUCUGUCUACUCAAUACAUAAACUCAAUUUAUUUAGAAAUGAAUGUAAUGGAUGUAACGCAUCUAAUACUAAGUUUCAACAACGGAUCUCUUGGCUCUCGCAUCGAUGAAGAACGCAGCGAAAUGCGAUAAGUAAUGUGAAUUGCAGAAUUCAGUGAAUCAUCGAAUCUUUGAACGCACCUUGCGCUCCUUGGUAUUCCUUGGAGCAUGCCUGUUUGAGUAUCAUGAAAUCUUCAAAGUAAAUCUUUUGUUAACUCAAUUGGUUCCACUUUGGUAUUGGAGGUCUUUGCAGCUUCACACCUGCUCCUCUUCGUUCAUUAGCUGGAUCUCAGUGUUAUGCUUGGUUCCACUCAGCGUGAUAAGUUAUCUAUCGCUGAGGACACUGUAACAGGUGGCCAAGGGAAAUGCAGAUGAACCGCUUCUAAUAGUCCAUUGACUUGGACACUAUUUUUAUGAUCUGAUCUCAAAUCAGGUAGGACUACCCGCUGAACUUAAGCAUAUCAAAA